rnacentral:rRNA from 1 species
GACGAACGCUGGCGGCGUGCCUAAUACAUGCAAGUCGAACGCAGUGGGGACGGGUGAGUAACACGUGGGUAACCUCCCAUCAGAGGGGAUAACACUUGGAAACAGGUGCUAAACCGAUACUGAUGGAUGGACCCGCGGUGCAUUAGCUAGUUGGUGAGGUAACGGCUCACCAAGGCCAAGAUGCAUAGCCGAUCUGUGAGGGUGAUCGGCCACACUGGGACUGAGACACGGCCCAUACUCCUACGGGAGGCAGCGGUAGGUAAUUUUAGGCAAUGGACGAAAGGCUGACAGAGCAAUGGCGCCUGAGCGAAUAAGGCCUUGGGAUCGUAAAGCUCUGUUGUUAGAGAAGCGGUAUCUCCACAGAAAGCCACGGCUAACUACGUGCCAGCAGCCGCGGUAAUUC